GUCCGUCCGUCCGUGUUUCCAGUUAUAGCCUAUCUCCUAAAGUCUUCUUUAGAAUUUCUUGAAAUUUUGGGAGUAGAUUCUAGUCGUCAUUCUAAGACAUUCCAGAAAAAAAAAUUUGGGGGGAACGGGCCUCGUUUGGGAGCUAGCGCUCCUUGAAGUUCCCAUAUAAGUCCCAUAUAAGAACACCUUUAAGUGUAUGUGUGUGUUGAUUUUUUGAGUAGAGCAAAUUUGUUG